GACGAACCGUGCGAACGUUAUUCGGAAUCACUGGGCUUAAAGGGCGCGUAGGCGGGCCCGUUAGUCAGGGGUGAAAUCCCACGGCCCAACCGUGGAAGUGUCUCUGAUACUGCGGGCCUCGAGGGAGGUAGGGGCGUGCGGAACUCAGGGUGGAGCGGUGAAAUGUGUUGAUAUCGGUGGGAACGCCAGUGGCGAAAGCGGCAGACUAGACCCUUCCUGACGCUGAUGCGCGAAAGCUAGGGGAGCAAACGGG
rnacentral:rRNA from 1 species